rnacentral:rRNA from 1 species
GAUGAACGCUGGCGGCGUGCCUAAUACAUGCAAGUCGAGCGAACGGACGAGAAGCUUGCUUCUCUGAUGUUAGCGGCGGACGGGUGAGUAACACGUGGAUAACCUACCUAUAAGACUGGGAUAACUUCGGGAAACCGGAGCUAAUACCGGAUAAUAUUUUGAACCGCAUGGUUCAAAAGUGAAAGACGGUCUUGCUGUCACUUAUAGAUGGAUCCGCGCUGCAUUAGCUAGUUGGUAAGGUAACGGCUUACCAAGGCAACGAUGCAUAGCCGACCUGAGAGGGUGAUCGGCCACACUGGAACUGAGACACGGUCCAGAAACCUACGGGAGGCAGCAGUAGGGAAUCUUCCGCAAUGGGCGAAAGCCUGACGGAGCAACGCCGCGUGAGUGAUGAAGGUCUUCGGAUCGUAAAACUCUGUUAUUAGGGAAGAACAUAUGUGUAAGUAACUGUGCACAUCUUGACGGUACCUAAUCAGAAGGCCACGGCUAACUACGUG